GGCAGAGACCAUAAGGGGUGCUCUGCUCUGCACAUCUGGAGAGAUGCCACCUUGAUCUGCCCUGCAGCUGGAGUUUCCCAGGGUCCUGAUCCUCAAAUCAAAGACUUCUAUUGGAGACUGAACCUGACAUUCAGCUAAGAUCUGUGGCACAGGUCAGGUUGCAUGUGAUCCAAAUUAUGCAUGGAAGGAAGAUGGUGUUCUCAGGCUCUGUGAUACCCAGAGCUCACUAAUGUCUAAAGGAGGAAAUAGAACUGGCUGGGGCCUUGCAGGUCCUAUAUUCCACCUCCAGAGAUCCUGACAUUUUCAACAAGCACGUGCUGAUGUUCAGAAAGCUGGCCAUUCGUGUCUCCAGAAUCAAGAAUCGUGAUCAUAACUUGGCGAGCACUUAGAAGUAUGGAACCUAUCAAGCAAAACUCUCCAGGCAAUGAGACACGUGAAAGCUUUUAUUUUAUAUAUCUUAAACCCCAUGUUUAAGACAACUGUUUCAUUUGAGCUGGACAAACGUCUGUGGUCGGGAGCACCAGUGUUUUGCCCCUGUUGUACUCCCUGAGAAAUGGAGACUGGUGGAGGCUUCUCGAGCAAUAAAAAGUGAAACCACCAAUG